AUUACUUUAAAAUCUUCAUACAUACAAAUAAUAGUAAUUACAUUAUUCUUCACUACUUUACACGUGUGACUUUCAUCUGCCAUAACAGAUACAUAAUAGUUUAUUAAACUACUCUAUAGUUUAAUUAACUAUUCUACAUUACAAGUCUUGGCCUGAUCUUCACACUCAUUCAUAUAAUGAAUGACACUUCAUCAGGAUACAGAUUAGCUUGAUCUUCACAAUAUCCUUCAGUUCAUUCUACC
rnacentral:lncRNA from 1 species